UACGUAGGGAGCAAGCGUUGUCCGGAAUCAUUGGGCGUAAAGCGCGCGUAGGUGGCCCGGUAAGUCCGCUCUGAAAGUCACAGGCUCAACCUGUGAAAGCGGGUGGAUACUGCCGGGCUAGAGUCCGGAAGAGGCGAGUGGAAUUCCUGGUGUAGCGGUGAAAUGCGCAGAUAUCAGGAGGAACACCGAUGGCGAAGGCAGGUCUCUGGGCAUUAACUGACGCUGAGGAGCGAAAGCAUGGGGAGCGAACAGG
rnacentral:rRNA from 1 species